CACCGUACCCAUCCUAUGUGAAAUAGAUUAUAAUUCAUUGUUUUGUUUACCUUUAUAUACCCACAGAGUACAUUAAAUAUACGAUACCCUUCGGUUUUGUUCUUGUGAAUAGUUCAUAAUUAUACCCAUUUGGAUUGGUUUUUUAGUAUUUCACGUUUAAUUUAUCGACUCUUAAUCUACCAUACAACAAUGGAACUAAGCAUUUUAGGGCUAAUAGCUCAAAUUUACCCAGGAUUGAUGUACUAAUAAACUGAAACCCGCCCAAUCCAAAAAAUAAUCUUUGGUUUGAACUGAAGUACGGGAAGGUAACCAAAGAGUAUAAUAACUUGCUUAUACAGGUUAACUGCUUCUAGAGCUUACGAAGUGAGUCGGUGUUAGACCAAUGAUAAGACUGAUUUCUACUGUCAAAUAAUAACUAACUUUUGAUGAGCAUUAUAUAGGUUAGGUUUUCUUGAAAUUGUUAUUAAAUUUUGGAAAACCCAUGUAGAAUAGAAAAUAAAAAUGCAGAAAUUUAA